rnacentral:rRNA from 1 species
GACGAACGCUGGCGGCGUGCCUAACACAUGCAAGUCGAGCGAGUGAAUCUCCUUCGGGAGUGAAGCUAGCGGCGGACGGGUGAGUAACACGUGGGCAACCUGCCUCAUAGAGGGGAAUAGCCUUUCGAAAGGAAGAUUAAUACCGCAUAAGAUUGUAGCUUCGCAUGAAGUAGCAAUUAAAGGAGUAAUCCGCUAUGAGAUGGGCCCGCGGCGCAUUAGCUAGUUGGUGAGGUAACGGCUCACCAAGGCGACGAUGCGUAGCCGACCUGAGAGGGUGAUCGGCCACAUUGGGACUGAGACACGGCCCAGACUCCUACGGGAGGCAGCAGUGGGGAAUAUUGCACAAUGGGGGAAACCCUGAUGCAGCAACGCCGCGUGAGUGAUGACGGCCUUCGGGUUGUAAAGCUCUAUCUUCAGGGACGAUAAUGACGGUACCUGAGGAGGAAGCCACGGCUAACUACGUGCCAGCCGCCGCCGUAAAAC